rnacentral:rRNA from 1 species
UGAGGAAUAUUGGUCAAUGGGGGCAACCCUGAACCAGCCAAGUCGCGUGAAGGAUGAAGGUCUUAUGGAUUGUAAACUUCUUUUAUACAGGAAUAAAUUGGGGGACGUGUCCCCUUUUGCAUGUACUGUAUGAAUAAGGAUCGGCUAACUCCGUGCCAGCAGCCGCGGUAAUACGGAGGAUCCGAGCGUUAUCCGGAUUUAUUGGGUUUAAAGGGUGCGCAGGCGGGAUGUUAAGUCGGCGGUGAAAUCUUGCAGCUCAACUGUACAAGUGCCUUCGAUACUGGCCUCCUUGAGUGUGGAUGAAGUAGGCGGAAUUUGUGGUGUAGCGGUGAAAUGCUUAGAUAUCACGAGGAACUCCGAUUGCGCAGGCAGCUUACUAAGCCACAACUGACGCUCAUGCACGAAGGC